UAUGUAGGCAGCAAGCGUUGUUCGGAAUUACUGGGCGUAAAGAGUGUGUAGGCGGUUCUCUAAGUUCCGUGUGAAAUCUCCCGGCUCAACUGGGAGGGUGCGCGGGAAACUGGAGUGCUAGAGGAUGGGAGAGGUAAGCGGAAUUCCUGGUGUAGCGGUGAAAUGCGUAGAUAUCAGGAGGAACACCUGCGGUGUAGACAGCUUUCUGGACCACCACUGACGCUGAGACACGAAAGCGUGGGUAGCAAACAGG
rnacentral:rRNA from 1 species